GACGAACGCUGGCGGCGUGCUUAACACAUGCAAGUCGAGCGGUAAGGCCCUUUCGGGGGUACACGAGCGGCGAACGGGUGAGUAACACGUGGGUGACCUGCCCUUAGCUCUGGGAUAAGCCUGGGAAACUGGGUCUAAUACCGGAUAUGACUCCAUGACGCAUGUUGUGGGGUGGAAAGCCUUGUGCGGCUGAGGAUGGGCCCGCGGCCUAUCAGCUUGUUGGUGGGGUGAUGGCCUACCAAGGCGACGACGGGUAGCCGGCCUGAGAGGGCGACCGGCCACACUGGGACUGAGACACGGCCCAGACUCCUACGGGAGGCAGCAGUGGGGAAUCUUGCGCAAUGGGCGAAAGCCUGACGCAGCGACGCCGCGUGA
rnacentral:rRNA from 1 species